rnacentral:rRNA from 1 species
UUUCACCUACGGGGCGCAGCAGUGGGGAAUAUUGCACAAUGGGGGAAACCCUGAUGCAGCGACGCCGCGUGAGUGAAGAAGUAUUUCGGUAUGUAAAGCUCUGUCGGCAGGGAAGAAAGCAAUGACGGUACCUGACCAAGAAGCCCCGGCUAACUACGUGCCAGCAGCCGCGGUAAUACGUAGGGGGCAAGCGUUAUCCGGAAUUACUGGGUGUAAAGGGAGCGUAGACGGCUGUGCAAGUCUGGAGUGAAAGGCGGGGGCCCAACCCCCGGACUGCUCUGGAAACUGUAUGUCUGGAGUGCAGG